rnacentral:rRNA from 1 species
GACGAACGCUGGCGGCGUGCUUAACACAUGCAAGUCGAACGGAAAGGCCCUGCUUUUGUGGGGUGCUCGAUUGGCGAACGGGUGAGUAACACGUGAGUAACCUGCCCUUGACUUUGGGAUAACUUCAGGAAACUGGGGCUAAUACCGGAUAGGAGCUCCUGCUGCAUGGUGGGGGUUGGAACGUUUCGGCGGUUGGGGAUGGACUCGCGGCUUAUCAGCUUGUUGGUGGGGUAGUGGCUUACCAAGGCUUUGACGGGUAGCCGGCCUGAGAGGGUGACCGGCCACAUUGGGACUGAGAUACGGCCCAGACUCCUACGGGAGGCAGCAGUGGGGAAUAUUGCACAAUGGGCGGAAGCCUGAUGCAGCAACGCCGCGUGCGGGAUGACGGCCUUCGGGUUGUAAACCGCUUUCGCCUGUGACGAAGCGGGAGUGACGGUAAUGGGUACAGAAGCACCGGCUAACUACGUG